AGGUCUCCUGAAGGAACGUUGAAGACGACGACGUUGAUAGGUCGGGUGUGUAAGUGUAGCGAUACAUUGAGCUAACCGAUACUAAUGAACCGUGAGGCUUAACCUU
rnacentral:rRNA from 2 species